rnacentral:rRNA from 1 species
CUUCGGUGGUUUGAGAAUAAUCAUGGAGAGUUUGAUCCUGGCUCAGAACGAACGCUGGCGGCGCGUCUUAAGCAUGCAAGUCG